GAUGAACGCUGGCGGCGUGCCUAAUACAUGCCAGUCGAGCGAACAGACGAGGAGCUUGCUCCUCUGACGUUAGCGGCGGACGGGUGAGUAACACGUGGAUAACCUACCUAUAAGACUGGGAUAACUUCGGGAAACCGGAGCUAAUAUCGGAUAAUAUAUUGAACCGCAUGGUUCAAUAGUGAAAGACGGUUUUGCUGUCACUUAUAGAUGGAUCCGCGCCGCAUUAGCUAGUUGGUAAGGUAACGGCUUACCAAGGCAACGAUGCGUAGCCGACCUGAGAGGGUGAUCGGCCACACUGGAACUGAGACACGGUCCAGACUCCUACGGGAGGCAGCAGUAGGGAAUCUUCCGCAAUGGGCGAAAGCCUGACGGAGCAACGCCGCGUGAGUGAUGAAGGUCUUCGGAUCGUAAAACUCUGUUAUUAGGGAAGAACAAAUGUGUAAGUAACUAUGAACGUCUUGACGGUACCUAAUCAGAAAGCCACGGCUAACUACGUG
rnacentral:rRNA from 1 species